GACGAACGCUGGCGGCGUGGAUUAGGCAUGCAAGUCGAACGGUAGGAUACCUUCGGGUAUCUGAGAGUGGCGAACGGGUGAGUAACACGUAGGUGAUCUACCCUCAAGAUUGGGACAACCCAGGGAAACUUGGGCUAAUACCGGAUGAAAGCAGCAGUGAUGUUGUUUGAAAGGUGGCGUAAGCUGCCGUUUGGGGGUGAGCCUGCGCUCUAUUAGUUAGUUGGCGGGGUAAAGGCCCACCAAGGCGAUGAUAGAUAGGCGGCCUUAACGGGUGGUCGCCCACACUGGGAUUGAGAUACGGCCCAGACUCCUACGGGAGGCAGCAGUCGAGAAUAGUCUACAAUGGCCGAAAGGCUGAUAGUGCGACGCCGCGUGAACGAAGAAGCCCUUCGGGGUGUAAAGUUCUUUUAUAUGUGAGCAGUGCUUUCUAUGUGAACAGCAUGGGGAGAGAGAUAUUAGCAUAUGAAUAAGCAACGGCUAACUCCGUG
rnacentral:rRNA from 1 species